rnacentral:tmRNA from 1 species
GGGGUCGACUUGGUUUUGACAGCGAGUCUAAUUGAGUUGUAAGCACGUCGAGCGCUGGGAAAUAGCUCGUAAAUCUCAUUUUUCACACUUUUUAAACGGCGAGAAUAACUACGCCUUGGCAGCAUAAUCUGAAUCAUAGUAGGAUUACUCUAGUCCCUACAAGGUAGGGAGCCAAGAUGUCUCGUGAGGGCCUUGAUUUACGGCACUCACACCAGAGGCACCGACAAAGUAAAUAUAGAGACUGCAGGACCUUGAUGCAGUUUUGAAACUUAAUUGAGGAUAAGUGUGCAGUUGGUGGUUUUCGGCCGGCUGUACAUCGAAAAAUAAGCGAAAACUAAACGUGUAGAAAGCUUCUGAAUUGCUUGUUUGGACGAGGGUUCGAACCCCUCCGACUCCACAA